UCUCUCUCUGGUGUCACGUAUUAGGAAUUGUGGGUGACUCUGUAACCCAACAAACAAUUUUUUAACACGUAGCAACAUAUUAUAAAUUU